UUCUUCCUGUCUCAGGGACAAUGUGCAAUGGAGAAGACGGGGUGAUGAUACUGCAGCUCUCACCCUCUGUCUCCACCAUCUUGAAAAAAGCAAAGCAUCUGACUAAAGUGGGACAUUAGCUUCUGACUUCGGGCUCUGCACAAGUGGAGCUGUGUAUUCUUUGUGAAGGGGAGCUCUCUCUCUCCAUCCAGUCCUCCUCAGUGCAGACAUUUCUGUUCCUUGGCUGGAAGCAGAGGGAGGAAGGAGAGAGUCCAUGGGAUGAAGGAGGUAUGUGUAGGAAGAUGGGAACUGGGGACAUAUGUCUUAAAACGUGGUGGAAUAUUCAAUGUGAAAAUAGGCAUGGAUUUAUAAAGAUAGCAGUAGAAAAUGGGGAAGUUAUAUUUUUGGACUGCAACCCCGAGAAUUCAUACAGCCAUUGUAGGCAGUGGCCAGACUACCUGAGGGAUUCUUGCCCCAGUAGCCCCCAAAAGAAACUCUAGUGCCCUGGCCCUGAGAGGAAAACCUGUCAGAGUAGGAAUGUAAAGAAUAUUCAAAAAUUGUCUCAUCCUCAGUGUGAAGAGUAGCUUGGCACACUGAGAUGUUUGAGGAAGUGUUAACCACCACAAGAUGAUCUGCCAUUUCAGGACAUUUGGGGGUGUCAAAAAAAAGAAUUUUACUGUGCAGAAAAUAAUGUUUUGUGUAAAAUACAGCUUUCUAUGCCAUAUGAUUUUUGCAGGAAAAGGAGUGACUUUAUUGCACAAAUGAGGCUCUACACACACAAAUAGUCCCAGUUUUAAAAAAAUGAAAAUAUGUGCAAUUUCACACAAAGGAAAGAUGGCUUUUGAAAUGAUUUCUUCUUGCAGGGAAGAAGAUAAAGCAAAGAUUUACAUCCUUGAGUCAGAGCAGCUACCAGCACCUGGCAUCCUUAGACAAUUGCCAGGAUUCACUGCCUUGUGCCCUCCCCUCUCCACUUUAAUAAAAUGUCUAGCCCUAUCAGGCCAGGCAGCACCACAUAGCCAGAUCUCCCACAAGGCUCCUGGCACAGCAUCUUUCAUUCUGAAGGAAUGCGGAAGAAGAAAAUUCCUAAUCAAAUUGUCUUAAACAAAUUGUUCUAUCCUGAAAUCUGCCAUCACAUUAGUCUGCCCACAUCUGCUGCAAAAGGCACCUCCAUCCUAGAAGACACUUGCCCAAAGGUCAUCUCAAGUGCAGAUCCUGUCCUAUUGAGUGUAGAACCAGCAAAGAAUGGCAUGGAGACCCGAGAUGAAUACCAGCAAAGCUAUGUGAAGACACCAAAGAAAAGAAAUCUGACCCAGAAGGACUAGAAAACAAAAAUAUGACCAUCCUUCACUCAAGAGACUGCAGUAUCCACUGGGGCUUAGAUAUCAAAAUCUAUGGCUGCUCAAGUCCCAUUAUAUGCAAUGGCAUAGUAAAAUGAAAUGGCAAAGUCAA